rnacentral:rRNA from 1 species
GACGAACGCUGGCGGCGUGCUUAACACAUGCAAGUCGAACGGAAAGGCCCGGCGUUUGUGGGGCGGUCGAGUGGCGAACGCGUGAGUAACACGUGUGUAACCUGCCCUUGACUUUGGGAUAACGUCAGGAAACUGGGGCUAAUACCGGAUAGGAGCUCUUGCUGCAUGGUGGGGGUUGGAAAGUUUCGGUGGUUGGGGAUGGACUCGCGGCUUAUCAGCUUGUUGGUGGGGUAGUGGCUUACCAAGGCUUUGACGGGUAGCCGGCCUGGGAGGGUGGCCGGCCACAUUACGCCUGAGAUACGACCCAGACUCCUACCGGAGGCAACGGUGGAGAGUAUUACACAAUAGGCGGGAGCCAGAUGCAGCAACGCCGCGUGCGGGAUGAGGGCCUUCGGGGUGUAAACCGAUUUCGCCUGUGACGAGGCGUGAGUGACGGUAAUGGAUAAAGAAGCCCCGGCUAACUACGUG